rnacentral:ncRNA from 1 species
AUUUUUGUUUUUAAUUGCUGGCGUAUAAUGCUGUAUCCGUUAUAAGCAAUGUUCGUAAUACUCUUACUGGGCUACCUACGUAUUUAAAUGAUAGUUAUUGGUACAUUAGGCAUGAUGCACAUUAAACUAUGAUCACAUUGUAUUAUCACCACAGUGAGUGGGACACCCGCGCAAAACGGAGUGACGAAGCAAGAAGAUGCGACUUCAGACUCCAGUGCGCCAGUAAAAACAGCCGAAAACGGGGAAAAUCCUGUAAGAAUGUGGUUUAAAGAUCUUCUCUGAUUUGUGCUUAUAAUAAACCCAGCUGCAACAGUUGGUGUCUCUUAAUUACAUUGAAAGAAUUUAAAGUCGAAACGGUUUAGGACUCCUUCGUAUACAUAGGCCAGCAAAGUAGGCAAUACUGGUAUGAUAUGCAUUCGUAGGAAGUCGCACUGUCUUUAAAUCUAAGUGCUGGACGACCUACUGCGCUAGGAUUUUGGUAUCUGUAGACACAUAUUUUCAAAACUAACUGUAUUUUGCCUUUUAUAUAGUCCGGCGACGGAUCAUUCAAGUGUCUGCCCUAUCAACUUUCGUCGGUACGGUAUUUGCCUACCGAGGUUCUUACGGGUGACGGGGAAUCAGGGUUCGAUUCCGGAGAGGGAGCCUGAGAAACGGCUACCACAUCCAAGGAAGGCAGCAGGCGCGCAAAUUACCCAUUCCCGACGCGGGGAGGUAGUGACGAAAAAUAACAAUGCAGGACUCGUUCGAGGCCCUGUAAUUGGAAUGAGUACACUUUAAAAGCUUUAACGAGUAUCCAUUGGAGGGCAAGUCUGGUGCCAGCAGCCGCGGUAAUUCCAGCUCCAAAAGUAUAUAUUUAAGUUGUUGCGGUUAAAAAGCUCGUAGUUGGAUUUUGGGCGCAGGCGGCCGGUCCGUCGCAAGGCGUGUACUGGACGUCCUGGCCUUCCCUCCGGUUCUCCGCCGGUGCUCUUGACUGAGUGUGUCUUUCUAAAAUUGUAAUUGCCGACUUCGUUCAAAUUGAAUUGCCUACGACUAAUCUUUUAUUUUGCUACCCUUCAACCUAGGCUCAUUAUAUAAACCCUUUCAGCUAAAUUAUCACAACAACGGUAUAUAGUAAAUAAAA